GAUCAGGUGACUGGCCAGCACCCAGAUCAGGUUUGGGCUGUUACCUCUGAGCAUGACCAACUCCCGUAAAACCAAGUCCUCCACACAGGGAACUGACAUCACACGCCCACUGGCCUCACCCACCUGUAAACCCGCCCAUGACGACACCUUCCGCCCUGGCAACCUGUUCAGACAGCUAGCCAAUCAGGAGGAGGAGCCCGUGGCGCCACCGUCGCUAUUCAAGCUGGGCUGGCUCUCUGGCAUGUAGUGCACUACUUUUCUCUCUAUUCCCACUAUGUAGUGCACUACUUUUGACAAGGACCUAUGGGAACUAUUCCCACUAUAUAGGGAAUAGGGUGCCAUUUAACACUGAACCCAAAUAAGGAGUGUGACUGUUUGUAUUCUUUAAACACCUUGUACUGUACAGAGACUGUUAGAAGAUAUGAAUCAAUAUUACAGUUUGAACAGAUUAUUCAUGA